CCCCCUACGGGACGCAGCAGUGGGGGAUAUUGCACAAUGGGGGGAACCCUGAUGCAGCGACGCCGCGUGGGUGAAGAAGCGCCUCGGCGCGUAAAGCCCUGUCAGCAGGGAAGAAGAUGACGGUACCUGAAGAAGAAUCCCCGGCUAACUACGUGCCAGCAGCCGCGGUAAUACGUAGGGGGCAAGCGUUAUCCGGAUUUACUGGGUGUAAAGGGGGCGCAGACGGCGAUGCAAGCCAGGAGUGAAAGCCCGGUGCCCAACCCCGGGACUGCUCUUGGACCUGCGUGGC
rnacentral:rRNA from 1 species